rnacentral:rRNA from 1 species
UUCCGGUUGAUCCUGCCGGACCUGACUGCUAUCGGAUUGAUACUAAGCCAUGCGAGUCAUUGUAGCAAUACAAGGCAGACGGCUCAGUAACGCGUAGUCAACCUAACCUAUGGACGGGAAUAACCUCGGGAAACUGAGAAUAAUGCCCGAUAGAACACUAUGCCUGGAAUGGUUUGUGUUCCAAAUGAUUUAUCGCCGUAGGAUGGGACUGCGGCCUAUCAGUUUGUUGGUGAGGUAAUGGCCCACCAAGACUAUUACAGGUACGGGCUCUGAGAGGAGUAGCCCGGAGAUGGGUACUGAGACACGGACCCAGGCCCUAUGGGGCGCAGCAGGCGAGAAAACUUUGCAAUGUGCGAAAGCACGACAAGGUUAAUCCGAGUGGUUUCUGCUAAAGGAACCUUUUGUCGGUCCUAGAAACACCGAUGAAUAAGGGGUGGGCAAGUUCUGGUGUCAGCCGCCGCGGUAAAACCAGCGCCUCAAGUGGUCAGGAUGAUUAUUGGGCCUAAAGCAUCCGUAGCCUGCUUUGUUAGUUUUCGGUUAAAUCUAUGCGCUCAACGUAUAGGCUGCCGGGAAUACUGCAAAGCUAGGGAGUGGGAGAGGUAGACGGUACUCGGUAGGAAGGGGUAAAAUCCUUUGAUCUAUUGAUGACCACCUGUGGCGAAGGCGGUCUACCAGAACACGUCCGACGGUGAGGGAUGAAAGCUGGGGGAGCAAACCGGAUUAGAUACCCGGGUAGUCCCAGCCGUAAACCAUGCAAACUCAGUGAUGCAUUGGCUUGUGGCCAAUGCAGUGCUGCAGGGAAGCCGUUAAGUUUGCCGCCUGGGAAGUACGUACGCAAGUAUGAAACUUAAAGGAAUUGGCGGGGGAGCACCACAAGGGGUGAAGCCUGCGGUUCAAUUGGAGUCAACGCCGGG